AGUACGGCGAGCGAACGGGGAAGAGCUCGUAGCCGAUUCCGGAGCCCCUGGGCUUUGGAAAUGUGGCGUGUGGGAGGCGGCAUCCUCCGUGUGCGGUCUGGGGCGCAAGUCCCCAUGAGAGGGGCAUGUUUCCCGGAGCGGGUGCUAGGCCCUUAUCGCCCCGGACCUGCGCUCGGAGUCGCCGUUCUCCUGGGAGUCGGGUUGCUUGGGAGUGCAGCCCAAAGUGGGUGGUAAACUCCACCUAAAGCUAAAUAUGACCGAGAGACCGAUAGCAAACAAGUACCGUGAGGGAAAGUUGAAAAGCACUUUGAAGAGAGAGUUCAAGAGUACGUGAAACCGUUUGGAGGUAAACGGGUGGGGCCUCGAAAGCCUAAGGCGGUGGCGGAUUCAGUUUCGGGCUCUGGGCUCCCUCGCCGGACUCUUGCCUCGAGGAGAGGAGACCGGAGGGGGGCAGGUCCUCGGCCCGAGGCGCACUUCCGCACCCCGUCCAUUGGGACGUCGCAACGGGUUGGAUGGCUGUCGUGGGGCCCGGGCGAAAGGUGGCCGCCUUCCCCUUUGGGGCUGGUGGUGUUACAGGCGUCCGGGAACCUGAGGAGCCGUUCGACCGUGGUGGAGGUUUGCCUCGAUAUAUCGCUCCCGCCUCGAGGGUGCGGUGCUCGAGAGGGUGCCGUUCGCACGCUGGCCCGACGCCUUGUUUGGCGAAGGCCUCGGACGCUCCGGUUUCCUUCUCGAGCGGCCGCCGGGGAGCCGGAGGUUGGCGACGAGUAGGUCGGUCUCCCACCCGACCCGUCUUGAAACACGGACCAAGGAGUCCAUUGCGCGUGCGAGUUCCCGGGACUUGACCAGGCCCGUGGGCGCAAUGAAAGUGAAGGGCGAUGCAUGUCGUCCGAGCUGGGAUCCCGCCCCCUCGUGGGGCGGGCGCACCAGUGGCCCGUCCGUUCCCGGCCUCGGGGGGACGGAGCUAGAGCACGUGCCUUGGGACCCGAAAGAUGGUGAACUAUGCCUGGGCAGGGUGAAGCCAGAGGAAACUCUGGUGGAGGCCCGUAGCGAUUCUGACGUGCAAAUCGAUCGUCAGAUCCUUGGUAUA
rnacentral:rRNA from 1 species